CGGGACGGGUGAGUAACGCGUGGGUAACCUGCCCUGUACAGGGGGAUAACAGUCAGAAAUGACUGCUAAUACCGCAUAAGACCACAGCACCGCAUGGUGCAGGGGUAAAAACUCCGGUGGUACAGGAUAGACCCGCGUCUGAUUAGCUGGUUGGUGAGGUAACGGCUCACCAAGGCGACGAUCAGUAGCCGGCUUGAGAGAGUGAACGGCCACAUUGGGACUGAGACACGGCCCAA
rnacentral:rRNA from 1 species